UGAGGGAAUAUUGGGUCAAUGGGCGAGAGCCUGAACCAGCCAAGUCGCGUGAGGGAUGAAGGUUCUAUGGAUUGUAAACUUCUUUAUUCGAGGGUAAAGUGAGGUACGUGUACCUUAUUGCAAGUAUCGAAUGAAUAAGCAUCGGCUAACUCCGUGCCAGCAGCCGCGGUAAUACGGAGGAUGCGAGCGUUAUCCGGAUUCAUUGGGUUAAAGGGUGCGUAGGUGGCCGAUUAAGUCAGCGGUGAAAGUCAGUGGCUCAACCAUUGAAUUGCCGUUGAAACUGGUUGGCUUGAGUACGUACGGGGCAGGCGGAAUGCGUGGUGUAGCGGUGAAAUGCAUAGAUAUCACGCAGAACCCCGAUCGCGAAGGCAGCCUGCCAGGCCGUGACUGACACUGAUGCACGAAAGCGU
rnacentral:rRNA from 1 species